rnacentral:lncRNA from 1 species
CAGUGAUUGUCUCGAUGCUGUAGUUGUGUGAAUGAUUCUUUGAUCUGAGAUAGUACUAAUGCUUGUAGUGAGGCUGCUGGAGUUUGAUUGAUAUAUAAACAUGGGUCUCAAUGAGCCCUUGUAGUGGAUAUUAGUGACAGUUGGUCCACUAUAGGAGUAGGGUGCAUAUCAAGAUGGGAUCUAUUGACCUUAAUAGAGAGGAGUAGUCCUAUGAGAUUUGAGUGGCUAUGUCUAAGAACCUGUGGCCAUAGUAAUGUGAUUA